GCGCCUGUAGCUCAGGUGGAUAGAGCAACGGUCUUCUAAACCGUGGGCCCGGGGUUCGAGUCCCUGCAGGCGCGCCA
rnacentral:tRNA from 1 species